CUUGAAUUGAGGGCAUAAAACCAAAAUAGUAUAAUUUUCGAAGAAAAAAAAAAUUGCCAACGAAAGUGGAAAGGAAACACGGGAUAAAAUGGUUUCAUGGGGGAAUCGUGGGACGUUGGUGGACUAAAAGAGAAAACAAUAUGGCCGACAAGAAUUGGCUAAAUUCAGUAAAUUGUGUUGUUUGCGGGAAAAAAGACAGAAUUAUGAAACGUUGUGGAAGAUGUCAG
rnacentral:lncRNA from 1 species